GCAAAUCAGUAUGCAGAAUCUGUCCGACGAUACAGAGAAGAUUAGCAUGGACCAUGCGCAAGGAUGACACGCAUAAAUCAGGAUGCAGAAUCUCAAUUC